ensembl:lncRNA
CAGCUAUUUGUCCAGGCUUUCAGUAUGGAAUAGUUUUCCAUUAUUCUCUAACAGUAGAUCCAUUAUUACAGCUAGAGUAAACCAUAAAAUGUCCAAAAACAUCACCGGAACUGUCAGGGUAUCCCAGAAGAUCUUUUCCAUCAUAGUUUUGCACACACAUGUUAUGUGAUUAUGUGAUAAGAAGGCUUAUACAUUAUGAAAGGCAGUUUUAAAUUUUUUUUUAAUACAUCUGUUUUACCUCAUGCUGCCUUUUUGUUCUGUCUUUGAAAUUCUGUUCAGUAAUAUUCUUUUUUUUUUUUUUCCUUUGCUUUGGCAGGGACGGAAAAAGCAACAGGGCUACACAUCUCGGCUGCCUUCACACGAGGUCAGAGUUCAAGCCGUACUCCUGUUACCGUAUGUGUCACUGCUUUUAUUCAUUACUGUGUGGGCAGAAACCACCACGUUUAUAUCGCAUUAGUCAGAAGAGCUAACGAAGUGAUGCUGUGCUGGGAUGCAAAGUUCGUUUAGGCAGCUAAUGCUCAGGGCACAUGCCUCCAGCCCCAUGGCUUUAAGCAGGAGCUGAAAGGCCUUGGUGAGCUCCACAGCUGCUGUGCUUUUGGCCAAAUCACGCUUCUCUUCAGGGCCUUUAAAGGUGUGGUUUGGGGGCUUUGAGCCUUGCUCUAUCAAGGUGUGGGUGUAGAGGAGAGUAUGGGAGGUUUGGGGGGGGUAAAUGUGCUCCCAAGUGAGGUCCAAGACAAAUCCUAGAGCUUCACCUCCACCUUUGCAGGGGCACAAAAGAUCAGAUCGCCUGCCUGCUGGAGGGACUCACUCAGAGACUUGUUGAUCAGGCCUGCUGUGGAUUGCUGCACUGCAUGGAUGUUAUCUUUGAAUGUUAAGCUUCAAGUUAAGAUAACCCCUGUUUCAUACACUGGGGAGGGUGUGCUACAGCCCAUGGAAAAAUGCUGCAGGAAAGCAGACACCCUGCAAGUGUUCAGCUCCAACUGGAGCAUCACUAGCCCUAGUACAUGUAAGGCUGAGUCCAGCUGGGCACAUACAAGAAAAGAAGAGCAGAAAAUAAGGCAGAAAACUCCAAUUGCUUUAUGCUGCCCUUAUUCUACCAUGCCAAUCUUCAUGUGUGUGCCCAGCACUCAGGGAAAACCUGCAUGCCCUUCGUAGCUUUGCAUGGGAGAAGGAAAUAAGGGAUUGUUAGCCUGCAUGUUGCAUGGUUAAAAAACAGCAUAAAAUAGCAGCUGUUUGUGAUAUCUGCUAGGGGCUAUGCACGUAGGUGUUAUUCUUGGGUGGGUUUAAAGCUGUGAGUCCUGACUCCUGUGAAAAGUGCCCUGUGUGGUCUGUGCAGCCCGGGGCCAACACGAAGCAAAUCAGCAAGGUGCGCAGCACCGCAACGAUGCUGGGCAAGCAGAAGGUGCUUGUGAAAGCAACAGGGUGAGAAAUUGUUCCCUGCUCUAAUAACUACAGGAUAUUAAGAGGAGUAGGUUCACAGGGGUGUGGGCUACUUCUCAGAUUCUGGAGAAAUUUUCCAGAAGUGUAAAAUGAUAAUUCCAUGAGGAAAAGGUGGUUAACAAAUUUUCCCUGUUAAUUCAAAUGCACAAAAGUUAAUUGCAGUUUGGCAGCCUGAGAUAUACAAAUUAGAGUUUAAUUCGGCUAAUCCUCAUUUUAAGUUGCAGGGUAUUGAAUACAAAUAUGAUCGUCUUGUGAAGGGACAAAUCCUGCCUCCGCUGAAGCCAGCGGGAGCCUUGCCAUGAACUUGAGAAGGGGCUGGAUUCAGCCCCUGGGUGAGCUCUGCGUGUAGGACUGAACUGGCCCAGAUGACAGGGAACCUGUGGGAUUUUUCCCUCAGCAUACGGGCCCAGAAUUACUCAGCUCCUCAAACCCUGCCAAACUUCCCCAGCCCUGCUGUGCUUCCCGAUUUGUACAGCUGGUUUUGGCUACCCAGGCACCCUGUGGGAGAAGCUGGGUUUUCUGCCCUUCUCCAUUCCCCUCUUCACUGUCUGACCAAUUAAAUAGAUAAUGCCGAAAGUUCCUCGAUUCAUGGGCUGUAACACAAACUGGGCUGUCUCCUAGAGGAAUCGUUUUUCCCAUUCAGCCCACAGCAGUCUGCCUGCUUUCCCAAACUCGCUGCAUGCUGUUGCCUCCACACGUUGUCUCACACGUCUGA